rnacentral:pre_miRNA from 1 species
AAUAGAUGACGCCGUUGACUUUUUCUCACAACCAUUCGUCUUAUUUAAAAAAUUUACGUAAUUAUAAUUUAUUUUCUUAAGAGUUGUUUUAUCAUUCAUAGUACUUUAAGUGUGAUUUAUAUCUUAUAUAUUUGUAUAAAAUUUUUAAAUAAGACGAAUGGUCAAACAUGUGAGAAAAAAUCAACGGCAUCAUCUAUU